rnacentral:rRNA from 1 species
GACGAACUUUGGCGGCGUGCUUAACACAUGCAAGUCGAACGGAAAGGCCCUGCUUUUGUGGGGUGCUCGAGUGGCGAACGGGUGAGUAACACGUGAGUAACCUGCCCUUGACUUUGGGAUAACUUCAGGAAACUGGGGCUAAUACCGGAUAGGAGCUCCUGCUGCAUGGUGGGGGUUGGAAAGUUUCGGCGGUUGGGGAUGGACUCGCGGCUUAUCAGCUUGUUGGUGGGGUAGUGGCUUACCAAGGCUUUGACGGGUAGCCGGCCUGAGAGGGUGACCGGCCACAUUGGGACUGAGAUACGGCCCAGACUCCUACGGGAGGCAGCAGUGGGGAAUAUUGCACAAUGGGCGGAAGCCUGAUGCAGCAACGCCGCGUGCGGGAUGACGGCCUUCGGGUUGUAAACCGCUUUCGCCUGUGACGAAGCGUGAGUGACGGUAAUGGGUAAAGAAGCACCGGCUAACUACGUGCCAGCAGCCGCGGUGAUACGUAGGGUGCGAGCGUUGUCCGGAUUUAUUGGGCGUAAAGGGCUCGUAGGUGGUUGAUCGCGUCGGAAGUGUAAUCUUGGGGCUUAACCCUGAGCGUGCUUUCGAUACGGGUUGACUUGAGGAAGGUAGGGGAGAAUGGAAUUCCUGGUGGAGCGGUGGAAUGCGCAGAUAUCAGGAGGAACACCAGUGGCGAAGGCGGUUCUCUGGGCCUUUCCUGACGCUGAGGAGCGAAAGCGUGGGGAGCGAACAGGCUUAGAUACCCUGGUAGUCCACGCUGUAAACGGUGGGUACUAGGUGUGGGGUCCAUUCCACGGGUUCCGUGCCGUAGCUAACGCUUUAAGUACCCCGCCUGGGGAGUACGGCCGCAAGGCUAAAACUCAAAGGAAUUGACGGGGCCCCGCACAAGCGGCGGAGCAUGCGGAUUAAUUCGAUGCAACGCGUAGAACCUUACCUGGGUUUGACAUGGAUCGGGAGUGCUCAGAGAUGGGUGUGCCUCUUUUGGGGUCGGUUCACAGGUGGUGCAUGCCUGUCGUCAGCUCGUGUCGUGAGAUGUUGGGUUAAGUCCCGCAACGAGCGCAACCCUUGUUCACUGUUGCCAGCACGUUAUGGUGGGGACUCAGUGGAGACCGCCGGGGUCAACUCGGAGGAAGGUGGGGAUGACGUCAAGUCAUCAUGCCCCUUAUGUCCAGGGCCUCACGCAUGCUACAAUGGCUGGUACAGAGAGUGGCGAGCCUGUGAGGGUGAGCGAAUCUCGGAAAGCCGGUCUCAGUCCGGAUUGGGGUCUGCAACUCGACCUCAUGAAGUCGGAGUCGCUAGUAAUCGCAGAUCAGCAACGCUGCGGUGAAUACGUUCCCGGGGCU